CAGACCUCUAAUCGGAAAAGACCACCCGCUGAGUUUAAGCAUAUCAAUAGCCGGGAGGAAA
rnacentral:rRNA from 1 species